CACCCAUAUCUCGGUUUUCUACCUACUGAAGACUUAUUUCUGUAGCUUGAGGUGGCUGAACCAUAGCUGAUUUAUGAACAGAAAGAGGAUGAUUCUGUUUUUUCUACCUGGAAGGCUUUAUGUGUAUAUAUAUACAUAUCACUCUGUAACAUAAUGAUCUUUUUCUUGGAAACAGGAAAUGACACCUCAUGCAGGCAUGUACCAGAAAGUAAGUCCUCAGCAGGAAAAACACAAACAAAAUUUUGCUCCAUUUAAUGUCUUGGUGCCUCGAUUUAAGAACUACCCAAAGGACACUCACUAUCCCAGCCCUGGUGCAUACAACCCAGAGAAGAAGCCACCGCCAAAAAUUGCCUGGCCAAUGAAAUUUGGAUCUCCAGACUGGGCUCAGGUUCCAUGUCUACAGAAAAGAACUCUAAAAGCUGAGCUGUCCACAGACAAAGACUUUAGAAAGCAUCGGAACCGUGUGGCCUACCUAAGCCUGUAUUAUAAUUGAGCAGCUGUGACUACCUUCACUUGCUCCUCUUAUACACAGACUCUCCAGGACUGAGGACAGAGCUGCUCUUCUUCUUCUGCAUUACUGUGGCCCUCUUGUCUGGCGCCCAAGGAGGGACAGGGGCUUAUAGCUGCUGUAUGAGAACAUAAAGACUAGUGCACAGUGCUGUCUCCGUCUA
rnacentral:sRNA from 1 species